UCACACUUGUUUGGUACUGAGCCACAUGAUAUGUCGCAACUCCCCCUGUGAGCAGGGACCAGGCAGGAGAAGAAAGUCACAUCAUCAUUCCCAAAGCAAAGCCUGGGGUUCUAUUUAAAAUCAUGCAACCAGGAAAAGCAGACAUGAGAAACUUACUACACUCACUCUGGAGAAGAUAAAGUGGAGUUCCAGAGGAUUAUUUUCUCACGUAACAUGUUUACAGACUUCGGAGGUUGAGGCGGGUGGAUCACCUGAGGUCAAGAAUUCAAGAGCAGCCUGGCCAAC
rnacentral:lncRNA from 1 species